rnacentral:rRNA from 1 species
AGAGUUUGAUCAUGGCUCAGGAUGAACGCUAGCGGCAGGCCUAACACAUGCAAGUCGAACGGUAACAGGGAUUGCUUGCAAUCCGCUGACGAGUGGCGCACGGGUGCGUAACGCGUAUAGAACCUACCCUUGACAGGGGGAUAGCCCGGAGAAAUCCGGAUUAAUACCCCAUAGUAAUAUUUUAAGGCAUCUUAAGAUAUUUAAAGUUUCGGUGGUCAAGGAUGGCUAUGCGUCCUAUUAGUUAGUAGGUGAGGUAACGGCUCACCUAGGCAUCGAUAGGUAGGGGCCCUGAGAGGGGGAUCCCCCACACUGGUACUGAGACACGGACCAGACUCCUACGGGAGGCAGCAGUGAGGAAUAUUGGACAAUGGUCGAGAGACUGAUCCAGCCAUGCCGCGUGCAGGAAGACGGCCUUAUGGGUUGUAAACUGCUUUUAUACGGGAAGAAUAAUACCCACGAGUGGGUAGAUGACGGUACCGUACGAAUAAGGACCGGCUAACUCCGUGCCAGCAGCCGCGGUAAUACGGAGGGUCCAAGCGUUAUCCGGAAUCAUUGGGUUUAAAGGGUCCGCAGGCGGGUCAGUAAGUCAGGGGUGAAAGUUUGCGGCUCAACCGUAAAAUUGCCUUUGAUACUGCUGGUCUUGAGUUGCGGUGAAGUGGCCGGAAUAUGUGGUGUAGCGGUGAAAUGCAUAGAUAUCACAUAGAACACCGAUUGCGAAGGCAGGUCACUAACCGCCGACUGACGCUGAUGGACGAAAGCGUGGGGAGCGAACGGGAUUAGAUACCCCGGUAGUCCACGCCGUAAACGAUGGACACUAGCUGUCGGACUUUCGGGUUCGGUGGCUAAGCGAAAGUGAUAAGUGUCCCACCUGGGGAGUACGUUCGCAAGAAUGAAACUCAAAGGAAUUGACGGGGGCCCGCACAAGCGGUGGAGCAUGUGGUUUAAUUUCGAUGAUACGCGAGGAACCUACCAGGGCUUAAAUGUAGUGGGACAGGCUNGAGAUAGGCUUUUCUUCGGACUCAUUUAC